GUGACCUUAGGCCUGGUGUUAAGGAUGGGAAGGAGGUGAGCCCAGUGAUGACCACUGAUGGCAUCAGUGAGGACGAGGCCUGCCGCUGACCUUUCCCUCCAUUUAGAUCCCAGCUUACACAGGCAGCUGCCCUUAUCUCCCCCUGCAGCUCCCCAAAGAGCCCCAGACACCCCAGCCUGCUGCAGUCUGUCCAUCAGCGUGGAUUGGGUAAAAAAGUUCUCUGCCUAAAAGGACAUGAGCUGAACACCUGCUGAACUCUGCUCCCACAUCUUCUCCAGGAGACGUGAGGGAGGGUGACUCCUCAGCCG
rnacentral:lncRNA from 1 species